UCCAUAAGGUCAUGGCAGCUGUCCUAAAAAUCUAUUUAUAUACACAUCAUCUUCCGAUGCUUACCACAAUCAGCUAAUCCCACACUCUCUUUUCUCUACCUACAAAAAAAAAAAAAUCAUCUAAGUUCUAACCAUGAAUCACCAACAACAAUCUCCUGCAGUGACUGCAUAUCCAGCAGGGGCUCAGAGCAACCUAGCAGCUCCACCACCACCUGUAGGUUAUCCCACUAAGGAUGAUCUUCCUUCCCAACAAAAUGUUCCUGUCAAAACCACUACCAGGGGUGAUGGCUUCUGGAAGGGAUGUUGUGCGGGAUUGUGCUGUUGCUGUGCCCUGGAUUGUUGUCUCUGAUUGAACAUCCCUGCAGUACUUUAUGGAUUUGAGCUUGUUCUCUCUGUCUUUUGUUAUUUUCUUUAGCAGAUUAAUUUUGUAUUUGUCUACGCUAAUAAGGAUAUUUGUGUCCUAAGGGACAGCAAAAUGUAUUUAUGUGACGGAAUUUUGUAUCUUGUUGAUCUUUUUGUACUUUGUGGAAGGUAACUAAUCACAAGGACCAUUAUUGCAAUUAGAAACCAUAACGCCUCCCAAGUUUUAUUGUGUUCA